UGGGGAAUAUUGGACAAUGGGCGCAAGCCUGAUCCAGCAAUGCCGCGUGUGUGAAGAAGGCCUUCGGGUUGUAAAGCACUUUUAUCAGGAGCGAAACGCUGUCGGCUAAUACCCGGCGGAACUGACGGUACCUGAGGAAUAAGCACCGGCUAACUUCGUGCCAGCAGCCGCGGUAAUACGAAGGGUGCAAGCGUUAAUCGGAAUUACUGGGCGUAAAGCGUGCGUAGGCGGUUUCUUAAGUCUGCUGUGAAAUCCCCGGGCUCAAUCUGGGAAUGGCAGUGGAUACUGGGAGGCUAGAGUGUGUCAGAGGGUGGUGGAAUUCCCGGUGUAGCGGUGAAAUGCGUAGAGAUCGGGAGGAACAUCAGUGGCGAAGGCGGCCACCUGGGACAACACUGACGCUGAGGCACGAAAGCGUGGGGAGCAAACAGGAUUAGAUACCCUGGUAGUCCACGCCCUAAAGCGAUGCGAACUGGAUGUUGGUCUCAACUCGGAGAUCAGUGUCGAAGCUAACGCGUUAAGUUCGCCGCCUGGGGAGUACGGUCGCAAGACUGAAACUCAAAGGAAUUGACGGGGUCAUAGCUGUUUCCUG
rnacentral:rRNA from 1 species